CUGGCAGAAGGUGGUCAUCUCUCCUUGAUAUUAAUCCUGCUCGCCCCCAUGCACCCAUGAAACGAUAUACACUCCUCAUAUAUAUUAUUCAUAUGGCUCAAGGAGUGCAUAGUCUGUGCGAGUGGGUGUACUGGCUGCUCUGUAGAAGUCUGUUUGGGCCAUAAAUAGUUUAAUUGAGAUCUAGAAGUGAAAGCCAGAAAGAUACAGUGAUCAAGUACAGCAUGUCUGUAGUUCAUUACUUUCAACAUUCCAGUAGAUCACAAUCUAAUGAUGAAAAAUGGUAAUAAUUAAGAAGAGAAAGAAAUGUUUUAGUGUGUCCUGUAUGUGCUUUUGUUGAAUAUUGUUUGAUUUUGAAUAACAUACUGUAUCAAAGGCCUGUCCUGUCUCAUCUCAGAUCACAGAUUUCGGACUCUCUGUGCAGAAGGGCGGUGUGGGCAGUGAAAACAUGCUGCAGGCCACUUGCGGGACACCUAUCUACAUGGGUAAUUCAUACAGCCAAACGCAUACAUUCACAUGUUCCAUUUACUUGUGAUUUGAUGAAUUACUAUGCGGGUUGUUUAAUAAAUUGAAUGAAGGGCUAAUUAAAAUGAGCAGUGAAGAGGAGAUGACCUAAUUUAAGUGAUGUGCAGCUGAAUAGUAUUCGAGAAAGAGCAGAUAUCAGAUAUCAGACAUUACAUUGGCCUCAAACAUCUUCCAUUAUUGACACAUGGACUUACUCUUUCAGCGCCUGAGGUGGUUAAUGGUCACCAGUACAGCCAACAGUGUGAUUUGUGGAGCAUUGGCGUCAUCAUGUACACACUACUGUGUGGAGAGCCUCCUUUCAUUUCCAGCUCCAAGGAAAGGCUUUCUGAGAUGAUUAUGAAAGGAGAGCUCACUUUCUCUGGCCCUGUGUGGCACACCAUUAGUGAUGCAGGUUAGUACUGCCUCUGGUGCCCACACUGUUCUAUUAUGAUUGCAGUUCAGCCAGUCUAGUAACUAUUUUAUGUUUUGUCUUGCAGCCAAAGCUGUAAUACAGUGUUUGUUGAAAGUUGACCCAGCUCACCGCAUCACAG
ensembl:lncRNA